AAUUUACAGAGGCCACUUCUGACUUGUCACUUUCACAUGUUUCAAAGCAUUUUGGUCAUUCCCCUCUCCCUGCUUAUGAACCAGCUUUUGACUGGGAAAAUGAGAGGUCGAUGAUAUUUGGCCAAAGGAUUCAAGAAACUCCAAUGGCGCCAUAUGGCAGGGGAUUGAAGAUCUCUGUAAAAGUUCUUUCCCUUUCUUUUCAAGCAGGAC
rnacentral:misc_RNA from 1 species